AGACUGAGACAUGUUCCUGAGGAGAAUUUGAGAUGAAAUACUGUGUGCCUCAAUGUGUGGGGAGCUGAACUGCAUACACUGGUACAAAGGGAGCGACGGGGGAACAGCUCGCAGCGACUGAGUGCUGACAGCUCCGGUUACACGGUUCUGAAUGCUUCUUCACCUCACCAGUCGCAUGUGAACAAUUGAGAGAGGUGUCAGAAUGAGACGAGAGCCAAUCAGUAAACAUGGGAGCACGAGUAUCGAGCAGGAGCGGGGCUGGCAGCAGCAGCAGGAAUCAGGACGAAGAGAAGAAGGAGCCGUGCCAGGGGAUGAUGGCAUCAGCCCCGCUGGUGCGUUAGACCACAGGACAAGCUGUCCCAGAGCUGACCAAGGCCUUACAGGAGCUGUAUCAGCACAACCGAAGGCAGAAUUUGUGCCGGCGUGGUUUGGAGCAGCAAACCAGACCAAGGUGUAAACGUGACCAGGCCCUUCGCUUCUCACAUUCCUUUACAAAACUGGCCAAGGUCGUUCGACCUCUGUUUUUUGGAGCAGCGCUGCCAGGCAAAAGUGAAAAGCUCAACCUUUCUGCAGCUUGGUGAGGCCAGUGAAGCCACCUCUCGCCCAGGACCUCCUGCGGUCUGUCCCUCGCUGUCAUCUGGUUGCCCUUGGGAGUCUGGGCAUGGAGGAGCUGGAGCAAGCCGUGGAGGAAGGGGAUAAACCAGGUCUCUGGGUGCUGCUUCUCAUGUGUUGAACAGGAAACAAAGGGUGGGACCAACAACUGCUCCUCGCUGCCUGUUGUCUGGGAGCAGAGGCAGCUGGUGGCAGGGCAGGGUUUCUUGAGGGCAGGAGCUUUUGGGGGCCAUGCCAGGAGAGGGGGAGGCAGCUCCUGGCCAGCCCAUGGGGCUGUACCCCGUAGCUCUGCCUCUCUGUGCCUGGAGCUGGUGGCAAUGUAGCUACCUGAGAUGUCACAUCUGCGGCCCCAGCAUGGCUGGUGGACAUGGAGCCAGUCCGGGCUGGGCACAGCCACCCUGGGGGUGUUGGCACAGCAGAGCUGUUUGAUAAGGAGCAUUUGGGAUGGAUGGAGCUGGAGCCUCUGCUCCCUGAGGAUCAGGUGAGUGUAGCUGGCAGGAGGGCUUUUGGGGACCCCUUGGACCUGCAGCUCUGAGAGCUUUGGUAGUCUCGCCUGUGGGUCUCUCCCGGGACUUGUUAGCACUGGGUGAAUAUUUCUGCAGGUGCAAAGGAACUGGAACAAAGUCCAUCAUCCCUAGUACCCAGCUCCUGCAGCAGCCAGCAGUUACUGCUUGGGGAAAGUAGUAGUGGAGAGUAGAGCAGGGCAUAUCCCGAAUGCCUUCCUGAGCUUCCUCCAGCUUCUGGGACGUUAUCGACUUCCAGGGCUGAAGCUGUAUCCAGAACUUCAUGGGGAAGGCUGAGAGAUCUGAAAUCCGAGUGCGUUCAAAGUCUUUUUGAACCCAUGUAUGCUGUUAACCUCCAGUACAGCUCCUGACAACCCUGUCGGUUCUGAUGGGAGGGAAAACCCAGGCUUGCGAUACACGGAAAGGUGCGUGCUGCUUUGAGGCUGCGCGCCUGGGACCUGCGCUGUACGUGGCGGAUGUUGAAAAAGCCCAGCUAAACCUCAUUGCACGCACACACUGCGGUGCAGGUGGGACAGGAUGGGUGUCUGGUGAUGCUGAGUUCAUCCUUGAAGCUUCUGAGGUUGCAUCCUGGUAUAACCAGGAGUUCAGCUGAAAACAAACCAGGAAGUUUUCCUGGUUUUUAAUCAAAUAGGAGUGGGGGAGGGAAUGCCAUAAAUCUUCUUAGGAUGUGUCAUUUGGCCUGGAACAGCAUGUUUCGAUUCUUCCUCAGGUUGUUUUUCCCAGCACACUCCUACUUUCUGAUUUGAGUCAAAUUUUUAAAUUGAAAGCCAGCACUUCAAAGGGAAGAGGACAAUAUUCUGCCUGGAAAAUGUUUAACUGAAGUAUUGCAGCACUUCUGAAAUGAUGGUGUCAAUUAGAAAAUGUCAA